AUUGAACGCUGGCGGCAUGCUUUACACAUGCAAGUCGAACGGCAGCGCGGGGCAACCUGGCGGCGAGUGGCGAACGGGUGAGUAAUAUAUCGGAACGUACCCAAGAGUGGGGGAUAACGUAGCGAAAGUUACGCUAAUACCGCAUACGAUCUUAGGAUGAAAGCAGGGGACCGCAAGGCCUUGUGCUCCUGGAGCGGCCGAUAUCUGAUUAGCUAGUUGGUGAGGUAAAGGCUCACCAAGGCGACGAUCAGUAGCUGGUCUGAGAGGACGACCAGCCACACUGGGACUGAGACACGGCCCAGACUCCUACGGGAGGCAGCAGUGGGGAAUCUUGCGCAAUGGACGAAAGUCUGACGCAGCCACGCCGCGUGAGUGAAGAAGGCCUUCGGGUUGUAAAGCUCUGUCGCUCGGGACGAAAAAGCAGUGGGUUAAUAGCCCAUUGAACUGACGGUACCGAGAGAGGAAGCACCGGCUAACUUCGUGCCAGCCGCCGCGGUAA
rnacentral:rRNA from 1 species